rnacentral:tRNA from 1 species
CGGGUCGUAGCGCAGAGGCAGGCGCACCGGUUCUCCAAAAACCUGGAGCACGCUGGUUCGAAUCCAGCCGCCCGU